rnacentral:rRNA from 1 species
CAGCCGCCGCGGUAAUACGGAGGGCGCGAGCGUUGUCCGGAUUCACUGGGCGUAAAGCGUGCGCAGGCGGCCCGUUAAGACAGGUGUGAAAUCCCUGGGCUCAACCUAGGAAUUGCGCUUGUGACUGGCGGGCUCGAGUACGGUAGAGGGGGGUGGAAUUCCUGGUGUAGCAGUGAAAUGCGUAGAGAUCAGGAGGAACACCGAUGGCGAAGGCAGCCCCCUGGGCCUGUACUGACGCUCAUGCACGAAAGCGUGGGGAGCAAACAGGAUUAGAUACCCUGGUAGUCCACGCCCUAAACGAUGGGUACUAGCCGUUUGGUGCGCGAUAGCGCUGAGUGGCGAAGCUAACGCGAGAAGUACCCCGCCUGGGGAGUACGGCCGCAAGGUUGAAACUUAAAGGAAUUGGCGGG